rnacentral:rRNA from 3 species
AGAGUUUGAUCCUGGCUCAGGAUGAACGCUAGCGGCAGGCCUAACACAUGCAAGUCGAGGGGCAUCACGAGGUAGCAAUACUUUGGUGGCGACCGGCGCACGGGUGCGUAACGCGUAUGUAACCUACCUAUAACAGGGGCAUAACACUGAGAAAUUGGUACUAAUUCCCCAUAAUAUUCGGAGAGGCAUCUCUCCGGGUUGAAAACUCCGGUGGUUAUAGAUGGACAUGCGUUGUAUUAGCUAGUUGGUGAGGUAACGGCUCACCAAGGCAACGAUACAUAGGGGGACUGAGAGGUUAACCCCCCACACUGGUACUGAGACACGGACCAGACUCCUACGGGAGGCAGCAGUGAGGAAUAUUGGUCAAUGGACGCAAGUCUGAACCAGCCAUGCCGCGUGCAGGAAGACGGCUCUAUGAGUUGUAAACUGCUUUUGUACGAGGGUAAACUCACCUACGUGUAGGUGACUGAAAGUAUCGUACGAAUAAGGAUCGGCUAACUCCGUGCCAGCAGCCGCGGUAAUACGGAGGAUUCAAGCGUUAUCCGGAUUUAUUGGGUUUAAAGGGUGCGUAGGCGGUUUGAUAAGUUAGAGGUGAAAUCCCGGGGCUUAACUCCGGAACUGCCUCUAAUACUGUUAGACUAGAGAGUAGUUGCGGUAGGCGGAAUGUAUGGUGUAGCGGUGAAAUGCUUAGAGAUCAUACAGAACACCGAUUGCGAAGGCAGCUUACCAAACUAUAUCUGACGUUGAGGCACGAAAGCGUGGGGAGCAAACAGGAUUAGAUACCCUGGUAGUCCACGCAGUAAACGAUGAUAACUCGUUGUCGGCGAUACACAGUCGGUGACUAAGCGAAAGCGAUAAGUUAUCCACCUGGGGAGUACGUUCGCAAGAAUGAAACUCAAAGGAAUUGACGGGGGCCCGCACAAGCGGAGGAACAUGUG